CUAAAAACCUAGCGGCAACAUGGAAGGACCGGAGAGGCAUCUGGCCUAUAUAAGGCCGGCGGUGCAGGCCUCCCUGGUGUGGCAUACAACCAGAUCGAGCGGUUGAAGAAGAAGACAACAGGAUAGCCCUCCCAGUCUCAGAUCUGGCCGGCCGGACCGACUGGCGCCGUGCCGACGAGGCGACGACGAAGGCGUAUGUGUACAUGGGUUUGAUCUUUCUCUCUCUCUCUCUCCGCUUCCGCUCCUCUCUCUCUCCGCGUGUCGAACGUCCGCUGUGUCCGAUGGGAUCGGUCGGGGGCUGCGGUGGAGGGUUGAUGAUGGUGUGAAUGGCUGACAGAAGAGAGUGAGCACACAGCGGCAGACUACGUCUGGUAAAGAGGACGGAUGGAUGCGAAGAGAUAUAGACGCAGCUGCUGUUGCGUGCUCACCCUCUCUCUGUCAGCUCUCUCUCCCCCUUGGGACUUGUUCCGCCAUCAAUCAGUCUAUCCAUCUCCCCUUGCCGUUCCCAUCGCUUCGCAGCCAUCUUUGCCUGCAUCGACUGCCGGGAAGAGGCAGGAUGAGGCUUUGUCUUGCUUGCUGUGUCCCCACCUGAGCCCUAUCUUGUCCGGACUCCGACGGCCUAGCCUAGCCCCCUGCUCUUUGGAAUAAGGUACGCUGUGCGCAUGCACGCCAUGAAUUCUUGCGCCGGCAGCCACCAAUUCCUAUUCCUUUUCUCCUCUUUGGGGGGUCUCUCUCUCUCUCUCCUAGCCGUCUUUGCUUCUUCCAGGAUUAGCUAUCGCCUUGGGGGAAGGGAGACGCGUGUUGAUUCGAUUAACGCAGGUGGUGUUAUUUUGCUCGACUCCCCAGGAGUGCUUAACGGAAAGCACUGUUUGACCGGUCCUUGCCAUGCCCUUCUCCCUCCUCCUCAUCUUCUUCCUCCUGUACUCCACCCCCUCUCUUUGUUGCUGCUUUAACUUUUUUGGAUCACGAAAUCUCCAUCGUUUUUCUCCCCCCUUUGCGUCCUCAUCUCAUGUGCUGCUGUGAGAGGCGGGCAGGAAGGACGAAGGAGGCGGCUAUGGUGGAAGCGGCGCAGAUCUACAAUACUUGACUGCAAGUGGAAAGCUGGCACGUAGCCGAUGGCGACGCCGCCUCCCAGAUCUGUGGGAACGUUCGAACAACAGAUGCUUGCUGCCUUCCAGGAGAUGAAGUGGCUGCAUGGGGGCACGCUUGUCGUUUGCUACUUUCAGCAUGCCUACAGAGAUUGUGUUUUAUGAUCAAUCAAGAUUAUCCACAUCUCCAUCUGGAAUGUGUUGGGAGAAGUUGGAGCAGAACAGAAAUAAUUAAACCCCUACAGCCAAGUAAUGUAAUCAAAAGGAGGAAGCUGUGCCGCCAAGCCUCGGGAACUUGUGCCGAAGAUGUAUUUCUCAUUUGGUGAAUCCAUGGUACCACUUCUAUUUAUCUAUCAUGAAUUCCAGUCAGCCCUUUCUGGCGUUCGUGGUUUCUGGCUUCAUCAGGAAAUAUGGCAUAAACGGGAUGAUCUUUUUUUCCGUGCAAUUCAGGAGACCGUUGGAGUGCUAUGGGAAGCAUUAUCCUUUUCCUCACGUUCGUCAUCUCUUGAAAACAUUGUAGUUUCCUCGUCACGUCUUGUAAGUUUCAGAUUUUGUGCUCGAAUAUCUGCUGGUAUAUGCCCUCCAUCUCAAUGAAGAAGUAUGCAGUUUAGCGUGAAGAAUAGACACAGUUGAUCAUCCGUCUCCUGAACAAUAUCUAUGUCUGGUUUGGUAAGCUAGCUGAAGUCUGCUAUUUGCUUCUGAGACUGGACUCACGAUCUCUGUAACAGAUUGUCUUUCUGUACAAAAUAAAUUUCACUGUAAAUUUGAAGCUGCUUCUAUUUUC